UGGGUUGUGGCUCAGCGGUAGAGCACUCGCCUUGAAUGUACGAGGCCCUGGGUUCAAUCCUCAGCACCACAU
rnacentral:tRNA from 1 species